rnacentral:tRNA from 1 species
GGUUUCAUGGUGCAAUGGUUAACACUCUGGACUCUGAAUCCAGAAAUCUGAGUUCAAAUCUUGGUGGAACCU